UCAGGAUGAACGCUGGCGGCGUGCUUAACACAUGCAAGUCGAACGAUGAAGCCCAGCUUGCUGGGUGGAUUAGUGGCGAACGGGUGAGUAACACGUGAGUAACCUGCCCUUAACUCUGGGAUAAGCCUGGGAAACUGGGUCUAAUACCGGAUAGGAGCGUCCACCGCAUGGUGGGUGUUGGAAAGAUUUAUCGGUUUUGGAUGGACUCGCGGCCUAUCAGCUUGUUGGUGAGGUAAUGGCUCACCAAGGCGACGACGGGUAGCCGGCCUGAGAGGGUGACCGGCCACACUGGGACUGAGACACGGCCCAGACUCCUACGGGAGGCAGCAGUGGGGAAUAUUGCACAAUGGGCGAAAGCCUGAUGCAGCGACGCCGCGUGAGGGAUGACGGCCUUCGGGUUGUAAACCUCUUUCAGUAGGGAAGAAGCGAAAGUGACGGUACCUGCAGAAGAAGCACCGGCUAACUACGUGCCAGCAGCCGCGGUAAUACGUAGGGUGCGAGCGUUAUCCGGAAUUAUUGGGCGUAAAGAGCUCGUAGGCGGUUUGUCGCGUCUGUCGUGAAAGUCCGGGGCUUAACCCCGGAUCUGCGGUGGGUACGGGCAGACUAGAGUGCAGUAGGGGAGACUGGAAUUCCUGGUGUAGCGGUGGAAUGCGCAGAUAUCAGGAGGAACACCGAUGGCGAAGGCAGGUCUCUGGGCUGUAACUGACGCUGAGGAGCGAAAGCAUGGGGA
rnacentral:rRNA from 1 species